AGAGUUUGAUCAUGGCUCAGAACGAACGCUGGCGGCAGGCCUAACACAUGCAAGUCGAGCGGGCAUCCUUCGGGAUGUUAGCGGCGGACGGGUGAGUAACGCGUGGGAACGUGCCCUUUGCUACGGAAUAGCCUCGGGAAACUGAGAGUAAUACCGUAUGUGCCCUUCGGGGGAAAGAUUUAUCGGCAAAGGAUCGGCCCGCGUUGGAUUAGGUAGUUGGUGGGGUAAUGGCCUACCAAGCCGACGAUCCAUAGCUGGUUUGAGAGGAUGAUCAGCCACACUGGGACUGAGACACGGCCCAGACUCCUACGGGAGGCAGUAGUGGGGAAUCUUAGACAAUGGGGGAAACCCUGAUCUAGCCAUGCCGCGUGAGCGAUGAAGGCCUUAGGGUUGUAAAGCUCUUUCAGUGGGGAAGAUAAUGACGGUACCCACAGAAGAAGCCCCGGCUAACUCCGUGCCAGCAGCCGCGGUAAUACGGAGGGGGCUAGCGUUGUUCGGAAUUACUGGGCGUAAAGCGCACGUAGGCGGAUUGGAAAGUCAGAGGUGAAAUCCCAGGGCUCAACCUUGGAACUGCCUUUGAAACUCCCAGUCUUGAGGUCGAGAGAGGUGAGUGGAAUUCCGAGUGUAGAGGUGAAAUUCGUAGAUAUUCGGAGGAACACCAGUGGCGAAGGC
rnacentral:rRNA from 1 species